AUAGGAGCGGAGUGAGCCCGCAUGAGCAGGGCUACAACCUGCCACCUUUUUCGGCCAUCCUACCUG
rnacentral:tRNA from 1 species